CGUACACUCCUACGGGAGGCAGCAGUGGGGAAUAUUGCACAAUGGGCGCAAGCCUGAUGCAGCCAUGCCGCGUGUAUGAAGAAGGCCUUCGGGUUGUAAAGUACUUUCAGCGGGGAGGAAGGCGAUAAGGUUAAUAACCUUGUUGAUUGACGUUACCCGCAGAAGAAGCACCGGCUAACUCCGUGCCAGCAGCCGCGGUAAUACGGAGGGUGCAAGCGUUAAUCGGAAUUACUGGGCGUAAAGCGCACGCAGGCGGUCUGUCAAGUCGGAUGUGAAAUCCCCGGGCUCAACCUGGGAACUGCAUUCGAAACUGGCAGGCUAGAGUCUUGUAGAGGGGGGUAGAAUUCCAGGUGUAGCGGUGAAAUGCGUAGAGAUCUGGAGGAAUACCGGUGGCGAAGGCGGCCCCCUGGACAAAGACUGACGCUCAGGUGCGAAAGCGUGGGGAGCAAACAGGAUUAGAUACCCCAGUAGUCCCA
rnacentral:rRNA from 1 species